CAUUCAGCACGUUGGAAAUAAUUUUAUGAAAAGGUUUUAAACAAAAUAUCAUAAUGUUAAAACCAAAGGUGUAAUGUUCGUGUCUACUCAGAGUAGUGUUUUACUAAGGUUUUGUACUUUGAUUCUAGAGGAUCUUCUUGUAUGUAAUUGACGAGUAUCGCACUGAUGAUGGCGUAAAAGCAGAACGCGCUUAACAAUUUUCAAAUGAAUUAUUUACACGAGAUACGACUCUAUUUCUGAUAUAUACACUUCAUGUAGAAAUCACAAGUAGAAAUCACAAGUCAUUCAUCAGUUUCAACCGAUUCAUUAAUGUAUCUUCAACGACUGGUCUAUCAGAAAGUUUCAAGAAAGACAGGAACAAAUGUGGUAGAAGUCUUAUAUUAAUGACUAUUAGUACAAAACCUAAUGUGAGAAAUACAGUGGCUCUGUGUCUCUAUCCACAAGGUACGUUGUACGAAAUGUAGCAGACGUU